AUCACAGGUGUGCAGCCACCACAUCCGGCUUUAUUUUACUUUCAAAGACUGCCAAAUUAGCACACACACCUGGCCUUUGACUUCCCCUCAUAGCCCCAGUGCUUUUCCACUGCCUCAUCCACCACAGCGCGAAAACCUCUCCCGCCCUGGUUUCGCAGAGCCGCUUCCAGCUGAGUUCUAUCCUCUCUCCCAGCGGCAGGGCCUCAAGUCGCAGUUUCCGCGCCUGGUUCACUUGAAGGCGGGUUUUGCUUUGAGAGUUGCGCUCAGAUCUUCUGGGGCUGCAGACGUUGGUCAUGGAAGAGGGGCGGCCAUGUCACCCCGAAUCUCAGCGGGCCGGACUGAACCCAGAGCCUUCACACAGAACUCUAUUCUCAACGCACCUCCAUGGAUCACACCUUUCUGAAGCACACAAACAAAUGGAAAACAAAUUGAAGCAGCUUUUCCUCACUUUCUCCUCUCCUUCAUGCAGCGAUGCCCAAAGGCUUUCUCCUGCCCAGAUCUGGACGUUCAAAAGCCAGCGCAGUCCUCACCCCCAGAGGCAGCUGGCUUCGAGGGGACUUUCUCAAGGCAACCUUGGCGUUUUUGCAAAUGUUAACUAAACAUUUUGAAGUCUGGAAACGGAGAACGAGAAGUGCUUUUGCUCUUUACAAAUAUCACCUUCCUACGUUUGAAGUAAACUAAAUCUCUGCUCUAGUGCUCACCAUUUGCUGUGAAAACUGUUUUUCCUGAAUAAAAAGCCAAGCACCCCUCAGAGGCAGAGCACCACUGUUAUUAGGAAACUGUAGAGGUGCACUUGGCCAGAAGCUGAUGCAGUUGAGUCUCAAGCUCCCUCCAAGAUCCCUUGUCUAGUUUUGUUCAACAUCCCUAAUCCGAAAAGCCCAGGCUGGCCUCAAACUCUUGGCAAUCCUACCUCAGCUCCGGAGGGCUGGGAUCACAGGCACGCACCUCCAUGCCUCACAAAAAUCUGAAGUUUUUCGAGUGCCAGCACAUCACAAGUUGAACAUUCCACAAUGUUUUAUACAGUUAUUUUUUUGUUUACAAAAUUAUUGUUUAAAUCUUGUAUAAAAUUACUUUCAGGCUAUGUGUGUCAGGUGUGAACGAAACACACCUGAGUUUUGUGUGAAACUCGGGCUCCAUCCUCAAGGUCUCAUUGUGUAUAUGCAAAUGUCCCAAAAUCUGACAAAAUAAUCCCAAACCAGAAACAUUAAUGUAUUUCUUAUUUUGUACUCUUUUUCUUAAGCAGCCUACACCUCCAACCCACCCACCCCCCUGUAUAAGCUUCAGGCUAGGAGCUCUCUUUAUCCUUUUUUUGUUUGUUUUUGGAAACAGGGUCUUGCUGUGCAGCCCAGACUGGCCUUGAACUUGCAGUGAUCCUCCUGCCUCAGCCUCCGGAGUGCGGAGAUCACAGGUGUGCGCCACCACGCCCCUGCUUCUAAGGCCAGGGACUAGACCCCAACCUCUGCCACAAAGCCUGGGGACACAGAGCCUCGUGUCUGGUUGACACUAGCUGUUUCUGAGGACGCCUUUCCUGGGGGCGAGGAGGCUCUGAGUUUCCAAAAGCCCAGGAGCCAUUUCCUGUACCGCGUGGACGCAAAGAAGUAGAUGACGGGGUCGAUGGCACAGUUGAGGUUCAUGAGGGUCAUGGUGACCUGCAGGGCGCCCGCGAACGCCUGCUGCUCGGCGCAGGAUGGCGGGCGCAGCAGGGCCCUGGCCAUGAAC
rnacentral:lncRNA from 1 species